rnacentral:rRNA from 1 species
UAGGGGGCAAGCGUUAUCCGGAUUUACUGGGUGUAAAGGGAGCGUAGACGGCUUCAUACGUCUGAAGUGAAAGGCCAAGGCUUAACCAUGGAACUGCUUUGGAAACUAUGAGGCUAGAGUGCUGGAGAGGUAAGUGGAAUUCCUAGUGUAGCGGUGAAAUGCGUAGAUAUUAGGAGGAACACCAGUGGCGAAGGCGGCUUACUGGACAGAAACUGACGUUGAGGCUCGAAAGCGUGGGGAGCAAA